rnacentral:miRNA from 7 species
UUGUGGCCCUCUGCUGGACUCUUUCCAGGAGAUCUCUGCCUUUUAUGUACAGGGGAGCCCAGAACUGGACACAGUACUCCAGGUGAGGCCUCACCA